rnacentral:misc_RNA from 1 species
GCCAGAGUAGAGCUCGUGAAAAAGAGCAUCAAUUGGUGGAGUGAGGAAUGGUCCUGGUAGAGCUCGUGAUAAAGAGCAUCAAUUGGUGAAGUGAGGAAUAGUCCCAGAAGACAAAGUGGCCUUGGCAGCCGGAGCAGGUUCAACGGUUGGCGAAGGGGUCACAGGCUUUCCCAAAAGCUCAGCAGGCAAAUCAGGUAUCCCCUUCAAAUAGAAAGUAUAAAAAAGCUUGAAAGGAAAUACUAUUUGCUUUAGCUUCACCUGUCCAUAUACUCCUUCAAAGAUCCCAGACCCACCAGUCACUGCCAAAUACGUAUCCUCAUACGUUAGAUAUGCUCCUUGCACAGAUAUGUGCCCAUAAUCACCCAAGUAGAAGCUGUAUGUUGCUUCGUAUCUAUCACCUUUCUUUUCUGCCACGUGCUGGAUAAGCACACAUAGACCAGCAGUAAUACCUAAUCUCUUCUUUAAGUCUCCAGAGUAGAGCUUGUUGGUGAAGGGCACUAGGUCACCCAGAGAUGAUUCUGGUUUUUUACUCAGUUUUAGGACUGCUGGGCUGUCUCUAUCUCGCUCGUUGAUUUCAUACACAUUUAGUUCUUGAACUUUCGUUGGCUCUCGAGAUUCUGGUGAGAACUUAGGUUUGUUGAAGGAGAAAGCUGUAGUGGCAAUGCUCUUGGAGCUUCUUCUUGAUGAGAAAUAAUAUUCCUGAUGAGAUGUGGAGAGUUUCAACUUUUGGAUUGAAAAGGCAUGUGAGUGAACAAAACCCAGUUGUUUUGGUGACUGAAAAAAUGAUGAGUUGGAUUUUAGGUUGGGGAAUUUGAGAGAAGAAGUUGGCUUGAGAGAGCUUGAAGAGGCCAUUGAUGGCAGAUGAGAUAGCUUGAGAAAAGGAUGAAUUAAUUUAAGAUGCCUAACAGAUGCAAGUAGAUAUAUCCACAAUUCAAAUGAAGGAAUGGUAGACAAGCAUCGUUAUAGGCAUAAAAAGAUUAAGG